AUUCUUUAUGCGCUCACUGUCUGAAAAUAAGGACCCUGAAAGAAAAUACUGCUGAAAUAGAUUAUGUUGAAGCAAAAGCUUUCCAAUCCUCCCACAGGUUACAUUACAGCUUCUGCCACUAUGGUCCUCCAACUCUCACAUCAAGAAGGCACUCAAGAGAAUCUACUUUGUUCCAUUAUGUUUCCCAGAAGACAAAGACAAAGCCUAUCUGGUCUUAUCUGUUUUUCCGUUG